rnacentral:rRNA from 1 species
UACGAAGGGGGCUAGCGUUGUUCGGAAUUACUGGGCGUAAAGCGCACGUAGGCGGCUAUUCAAGUCGGGGGUGAAAGCCCGGGGCUCAACCCCGGAACAGCCCUCGAAACUAGAUAGCUAGAAUCUUGGAGAGGUCAGUGGAAUUCCGAGUGUAGAGGUGAAAUUCGUAGAUAUUCGGAAGAACACCAGUGGCGAAGGCGACGACCUGGGCCAAUAUUGACGCUGAGGUGCGAAAGCGUGGGGAGCAAACAGG